CCCGAAUCUAAAUGAGCUAUUUUUAUUCUACCCCCACUGUUGCAUAAUUGGAUCAAGAAAUAAAAAUAGAAGCUACAUACCACCCGCAUUUAGUAAUAUCUGGUUGUUCAUAAAUCUGAUAUCAGACAAUCAACCCAUGUAUUGUAAUUAAUAAGGGAUAAGCCUUAUUAAAUAAGCCAGAACCCUAUAAUUUCUACUUCAUAGGCUUAAUAUCAGCCCUUGCCACCUAUUCGUCAUAGACACAUAGCAAUUUCACCACCAUUCUUCUGCUCCACUACAAGAACCUCUAACACCAACCGCUAAUGCCCAAGAAACUGUUUAAAUAAGUACAAUUAACAAAUCAAAAUUACAUCUUACAUCACGCUCAAAAAUUAACACACACCACCUUAUAAGUAUGAACUCGACAAAAAAAUCUCUGUCUGUUUAGCAAAAACAUAGCCUGUAGUCAAUAUAUUACAGGUAUCCCCUGCCCAGUGAAAAUUUUAACGGCCACAGUAUCCUGACUGUGCAAAGGUAGCAUAAUAAUUUGCCAUUUAAUUGGUGGCUAGCAUGAAUGGGUAAACAGAGAUCUAUUUUAUUCUUAUUUUACUGUAAAUUAGUAAUUAUGUGAAAAACCAUAAAUUUCCCUGAAAGACAAAAAGACCCUACUGAGCUUAAAGAUCUCUUCCUACUCUAGGACCACCUCUUUUAGCUGGGACGACUAAAGAGCACACCUAAACCUCUUAGAAUGUAUUAGACACCCUGUCACACAAUUGCCCCUUCAAUGAUCACCGAAUAUAAGUUACCAUAGGGAUAACAGGCUAAUUCUCCUUAGGAGCCCAAAUCGACAGGAGAGCUUGGCACCUCGAUGUUGGCUUAGGGUUACUUUUUCUUGCAGAAGGGAAAAAAGUUGGUUUGUUCAACCAUUAAACCCCUACAUGAGCUGAGUUAAGACCGCUGCAAAGUAGGUCGGUUUCUAUCUUCAGUUAACUAAUAUAGCUAAUAGUACGAAAGGACCUUAGCUA
rnacentral:rRNA from 1 species